CCUCAGGGGCCCAAGUGUCAGAGUUUUGAGCUCCAUCCAGAUUCUUAGAAGCCCCUCAGCUCCAUGAUGCUGCCAAUUGGGUAGGGGUCCCCACAGGUGACUCUGAGACAGAACUAGUAUCAACUCUCCACAUUAUCACCCUAGCACCUCUCACAGCCUCCUAAAAGAGAGGACCAUCAUCAUCUUAUAAGAAAACCCCUCUUAAAUCCUCACUUGUGAAAUGGAAAAGUUGCUAGAGAUGGUUCAGAGGGCCUUUCCCACCUCCUUUUUUGCCGUUUCCUGACCCCAGCCUUGUUGCUAUGGCUUUCCUUGGAAUCUCCAAUGCAUUGAAUCAGAAUUUGCCUUUCUGCCUGAGGCAGGAUGUCCCAUGACCACUUUAGCCUCUUGUUGGAAAACAAUGAAGAAAAUAGCUACCAUUAAUGGAGCUCCUGCUCUGUGCCAGGGACUGUGCCAUGUACUUCACUCUGAGAAGCAAGGGCCCUGCUUAUCCCCAUUUGAAAUGGGAAAAAGCCUCUGAUUAAACCGCUUGCCCAAGUCUCCUGGCAGUAAGUGGUGGAGCAGGAUUUCGUCCCAGCCUCAUGCUGUUUCCACAUCCCCACAGUGGCCCCGGGCUGUGCUCCUUCCCUGGACCUGAGCUUCACUAUUGGACCAGAUGAGCCUCUCGGAUCCAUCCCAGCCUGGCACGUCUAGAUCCUGCCUCCCAACGCAGGCUGCUGAGAUGUUCACUUGAAUCUCUCACCAUGGACAUUACCCAAACAUUACCUAAUGUUUUCCAGAGAGAAGAAUCCUAUUUCUUUCUGUGUUUUAGAUUCCAAACCAAAAAGGGACAUAAUUGUGUGGUGAAAAUAACAAGGGACUUCAAAUCAGAAAACCCAGGCUCAGAUCCUGGCUCUAAUAUUUACCAGUCAUGUCAUUUUAGGGUUACAGCCUUUCCAAAUACCUUUCCCCUAAUCUGUAAAGUGGAGAUCAUAAUAACUACCUCAGCAGGAUGUUACGAAGACCAAGUGAGAAGCCUGGCAUCUGGCAGGUACUCAAGAAACAAAAAUACAAGCCCACAAAACAAAAACCACCACAAGACACUUCAUGCCUCUGUCCUCCUAGUUUCUAUGGAGAGGUAUAAGACUUUUGUCUCUACCUCAUUUCAUUUACAAGGACUUCCCACUAAAAAGUGAACCAGAGAUGCUCUAGACAAAGUUAAUUGCCAGAGACCUCUCAGUAUAUGUAUGACUAAACCCAAACAAAUAACCUGAAGAAAAUGUUCUCUUUUUCAGUGAAAUAAAAGUAAUUCCCAUUCAGACA